rnacentral:lncRNA from 1 species
CUCCUUUGUAUCUAAAUGAUUCAGAAAACUUUUUGUCUUUUGUUAUUCAGUUUCUGUAUCAAAAUCUAAGGAUGACCCUACUACCUACCUCUCAGGGUUAUUACUGAAUGGUAAGUGGAAUUGUGCAUAGGAUAAGAUUUUUUUUUAGCUGUAUAUUGAAAUAGUUUUAAUUAUUACUGUCCUGUACUCAGCAUGGUGCUAGGUGAUACUGGGGGCAGCUUACACAACCAGAAGGAGCAUGAUCUUUGAGGUCCAAUGGACUGGGUCCAAAUUCUGUUUCUACCAGUGCGUGAUCUUAGAUCACAGGAACUCUCUGAAUCUUAGACAAAUGAGCAAUGUAAUGUCUCCACGCAGUUAUGAGGAUUGAAUGAAAUAAUACGCCUACCCAGCUUGGCACGCAGAAAUAUGUCAAGUUGUAGGUUUUAGAGUUAUAAGAAGCUUACAAGUUGCUUCUAACCAAGUCCAGAAAUUAUUUAGAUGUCAAUACAAUUUAUAUCUAACCUUAGAGACCAUCUACCAAAAGAAUUCUUUGUGGAUUUGUGUGCUGGUGGUGCUAACAAAAUAUCCACCGUCUCUGCCCCCACUGAUGGCUGUGGGCACAGAGAGGUAAAGAACCUCUUGCAAGGAUGGGUGGGUGGGGAUGCAGGGUGCUUUACCAUUUUCUCCAAUGGUGCAGGGCAAAAGCUACCCAUGAAAUUUGGGGAGAAUCUGCAGAAAUGGAACGGAAGCCAGUAGCAUAGAUAAGGGAAGUGCAAAAGGUAUAGGGCUGUUGUAUACAGCUGCCCAAUCUCCAUACUGAACGACUCACAAGACUAUGAUAUAAAUGAGUGGUGUUCCCUGAUAGAGUUCAAUAUGGUGAGUUCUAGUUGGUGACCCAUAUUCAUGUGGUGAGAGGAAUAUGAAUCAAAAGGGGCAAACUAAUUUGUCCCUUGAGGGGAAGGGAAACAGGACCAGAACAUCAGUGUCACUGAGGUCAAGAGAAAGGUUUGGAAGAGGAAGGAUGGUCAGUAAUGUCAAAAGCCAUUUCUACCCAUGUAUGACCUCAGGUCACAGGACAAGAGAUCUAUAAUAAUAAUGAACCCCAGUGAAAGAUGAGUGAAUUUGCCAGUUAAAAGACUCCUGCGCUGGGAGGCAGUCUAACCUGGGAGAGAGAUUAAAGGUCCUAUAACUUCUUUCCUAUUUUCUGAUUCCCAUUCUGCCACUUGCAGUUGACAACUUUGAGCAAAUCACUUAACCUCUUUGUGCUAAAGUUGUGAUGAAUAAGCACUCUUUCACGGGCUCACUUGUGAAGAUUUCAGAAACAAGCUGGCAUUCUCUAUUCUCCCUUCUUUAUUUUUCUUCCUAGGCUUUAUCACCUUCUAGAGUACUAUAUAAUUUUUAAAUUUGUUCCCCUGCCCCCAACAUUCUAGAAUUAUGUCCAAGAGGGCAGGGAUUUUUGUCUUUUUGUUGUUGUUCACUUCAGUAUCCUCAGUGCCUAGAACAAUACCAAGCACAUACUAGGCACUCAAUAUAUAUUUGUUGUAUUUCAGGUCCUUUCCAGGUCCAUCCUGCUCAUUGUUCCUCUGAGUUCCUUCAUGUUCCUCAGCUAAUUAUAGAUGGGAUUAUGUAUCUCACAGUUUUCCUCAUGUAUGUUUUAUUUUAUUUUAUUUUAUUUUGAGAGAGAGAGAGAGAGAGAGAGAGAGAGAGAGAGAGAGAGAGAAACAGAGGGCACAAGUGAGCAAGGGGCAGAGAGAGAGAGAGAGAGAGAGAGAAAGAAUCCCAGGAGGGGCAGAAAGAGAGAAGCGGGGCUCACCCAAAGCAGGGUUUGUGUUCACCCAAAGCAGGGCGUGAGCUCACCCAAUGUGGGACUCGAACUCACGAACCAUGAGAUCAUGACCUGAGCUGAAGUCAGAUGCUUCAUGACUGAGCCACCCAGAUAUCCCUUCAUGAAGGUUUUUAAAUUGCCUUAUCUCAACUGAAAUACUUACCUGGUAUCUUAAUUAGGACUUUCUGUGUGCAAGUAAUAUAAAAUCCUACCCAAUCUGCUUUGGGAUGGUGGGAUGGUGGGCAUGUGGGGGAGAAAGGGAACGUAUUGACUCUUACAAGUAGAUGGCUUCAGGCAUGGCUGCAUCCAGGAGUUUAGGGAAUGUUACCUGGACUGAGUUUUUUUUUAAUCUCUCAGAUCUGCUUUCUUCUUUAUUGGUUUUUAAAAAUGUUUUCCUUUUUUAUUUUGAGAGAGAGAGAGCAAGUGGAGGAGGGACAGAGAGAAAUGGAGAGAGGAUCCCAAGCAGGCUCUGAAUUGACAACGUGUAGCCUGACUCAGGGCUUGGGCUUACAACCGUGAGAUCAUGAGCUGAGCCGAGAUCAAGAGUCAGAGGCUUAACUGACUGAGCCACCCAGGUGCCCCUAACUUUUUUUUAGGGAGAGCACGAGAAAGCAAGUGCGAGCAGGGGAGAGGGAUGGGGGCAGUACAGAGAGAGAGACAGAAAGACAGAGAGAGGGAGAAUCUUAAGCAGACUCCACCGCUCAGUACAAAGCCUGAUGCAGGGCUCGAUUCUACCAUCCUGGGAUCAUGACCUGAGCCAGAAUCAGAACUGGCUGAGCCACCCAGGUGCCCCCCUUUUAGCAUCUUUAGAGAUGGUCAGUCAUAUGGUUUUUAGUUUUGACCUAGUAACAUGGUGUUGGUUUGCAACCACCUUGGGGGCAUCCCAGGUGAACUCUAACAUCACCCCCCAUAUUCUGAGGGCAGAGAGAGACCAAAGAAAGGCCACUCCAGGCUGGUGACAGCCAUUCAACAAGGGAACUUACAUAUGAAGCUUGUCUUGGGUGGCUGUAAGAUGAUCUACACACUUGCCCACAAAAUUUUAAAAGCUUCUGUAAUGUGAUAAGAAGGACACUUCUCUGUGGUAUUCUUUCCAGAAGCCCAUUACUCCAGUCAAGUCACGAGGAACACAUCAGACCAACUGAGGACCAUUCUACCAAAUACCUAACUGGGACCCCUCAAAACUGUCAAAGUCAUGAAAUAUAAGGAAAGACUGGGAAACGGUAACAGACAAGAGGAGACUAAGGAGGCAUGACGACAAAAUGCUAUAUGAUGUUCUGGAUUGGAUCCAGGAAAGAAAAAGGACUUUAAAGAAAAAAUGGUGAAGUCUGAAGAAAGUCUGGAGUUUAAUAGUAAUGUACUGAUGUCUUCUUGAUUUUGACAAAUGGGCCAUGGUAAUGGGAGAUGAUAACAUUAUGAGAAACAACCUGAGUGAGGGGUAUGUGGGAACUCUAUCUUUUGUGGCUUUUUAAAAAAUAUAUUUUAUUUUUAAGUAAUCUCUAUAAAAAUUGUUCCAAAAUAAAAACAAUUUUU